rnacentral:rRNA from 1 species
UACGGGGGGGGCAAGCGUUGUUCGGAAUUACUGGGCGUAAAGGGCUCGUAGGCGGCCAACUACGUCCGACGUGAAAUCCCCAGGCUUAACCUGGGAACUGCGUCGGAUACUGGAUGGCUUGAAUUCGGGAGAGGGAUGCAGAAUUCCAGGUGUAGCGGUGAAAUGCGUAGAUAUCUGGAAGAAUACCCGUGGCGAAGGCGGCCGACUGGGCCGUCUCCGACGCUGAUGCGCGAAAGCGUGGGGAGCAAACAGG